rnacentral:rRNA from 1 species
GAAUCAUUCACAAUGGGGGAAACCCUGAUGGUGCGACGCCGCGUGGGGGAUAAGGUCUUCGGAUUGUAAACCCCUGUCAUGUGGGACAUUAAAAAGAUAGUACCACAAGAGGAAGAGACGGCUAACUCUGUGCCAGCAGCCGCGGUAAUACAGAGGUCUCAAGCGUUGUUCGGAAUCACUGGGCGUAAAGCGUGCGUAGGCUGUUUCGUAAGUCGUGUGUGAAAGGCGCGGGCUCAACCCGCGGACGGCACAUGAUACUGCGAGACUAGAGUAAUGGAGGGGGAACCGGAAUUCUCGGUGUAGCAGUGAAAUGCGUAGAUAUCGAGAGGAA